rnacentral:rRNA from 1 species
GACGAACGCUGGCGGCGUGCUUAACACAUGCAAGUCGAACGGAAAGGCCCUUCGGGGUGCUCGAGUGGCGAACGGGUGAGUAACACGUGGGUGAUCUGCCCUGCACUUUGGGAUAAGCCUGGGAAACUGGGUCUAAUACCGAAUAGGACUCCGGACUGCAUGGUCUGGGGUGGAAAGCUUUUGCGGUGUGGGAUGGGCCCGCGGCCUAUCAGCUUGUUGGUGGGGUGGUGGCCUACCAAGGCGACGACGGGUAGCCGGCCUGAGAGGGUGACCGGCCACACUAGGACUGAGAUACGGCCCAGACUCCUCCGGGAGGCAGCAGUGGGGAAUAUUGCACAGUGGGCGCAAGCCUGAGGCAGCGACGCCGCGUGAGGGAUGACGGCCUUCGGGUCGUAAACCUCUUUCGGUAGGGACGAAGCGCAAGUGACGGUACCUACAGAAGAAGGACCGGCCAACUACGUGCCAGCCGCCGCGGUAA